UGGUUUUUCGAGACAGGGUUUCUCUGAGUAGCUUUGCGCCUUUUCCUGGAACUCACUUGGUAGCCCAGGCUGGCCUCGAACUCACAGAGAUCCGCCUGGCUCUGCCUCCCGAGUGCUGGGAUUAAAGGCGUGCGCCACCACCGCCCGGCCCAUUGAUCUUUCAGGAGGUGCCUCCUCGGGUCUCCCCAAUAACCUGGCCUGCGGGACGGGCAAGUGGCGCCCGAACGUGGGGCCCGAGGCACUGUGACCUGCCGGACGACGGACAACAGAAGGGGCCCCCCCGGAGAGGAUCAGGGUAGAGACGCCCGGACUGCAUCACUCGUGCAACGCGGGAGAGUCUUGAGGUAAGUAUGUCGUCCCAUCGAUCAUGGGCAAAAAUUUAUCUAAAGAGGCUGUUUUUCUAAAGGAGAUGAAAGGUAAUCUUAGGGAGAGAGGAAUAAGAGUUAAAAAAAAAAGGAUUUAAUAAAAUUCUUCCAAUAUAUGGAGGAGAAAUGUCCCUGGUUAGUGAUUAAUGGACCAGGAAUUCACCCUCUGACUUGGAACAAGGUUGGAAAAGAUACUAACAAAUUAAUCAGAGAUGGGAAAAUGUCCCCGACGCCUUUUUUAGUUUUUAUGGUGUGAUUAGAGAUGUUUUACCGGUAAGAGCGCUCUCUGUCUUGUCUGUGUCUCUCUGUCUUGUUACUUUUGUUUUGUACUUUGCAGGCUUGAUUUGUACUUUGCAGGCUCUCACUGGGACAGACGUGUCCGGACAGUGAACCUGGCGGCAAAGGGAGACGUCCCAGAGCCCUAAGGCCACCUCAGAGGUGACCAUUUGGUUUAGGAGCAUCUUUGGGUAUCUUCCCCCACGGUGGGAGGAAGUGCCACUUUGUAUUUUGUCCCGGGAAUUUGUCAGAGCCAUUUUGUGGGUUUUUUUUUUUUGUGUGUGUGUGUUUUAUUGUGAUCAUUGUUACUUUACUCUCUCCUUCUCUUCCAAGAAAAAAAAAAAAAGGUGCAUGUCUGACAGGGAUGUGGAAGCCCCUGAUGUCUGUUUGAUUAAGAACGGAGAUCCUCCAGUCUGGAUUGUUUUUGGUGUGAUUGAGCCUGGAGGGUUGCCCUCCCCCAACCCAGAGCACAUCAGGCUGUCAUUGUUCUUGGAGCUUUGUUGGUUGUUUUGUUGGGGCAAAGUUUUUUCAUGUGCCCUUGGUCUUGUGUGUAAUGUAUUAACUGUUCUCAAUGUUGACUUGACUGUGACGCUAUGGGACAGUUCCCUUCUUCUCCACUAGACCUUUGCCUAGCCCACUAGAAGGAUGUUUGAGCCACAAUAGAGGGAACUGGGUCCCCCACCCCCACUCCCCGAUUGAACUGAGAUAAACAGGUAGCUCCUGCCUGAUGGGGCUUGCAUACUGUAAGAGGGGCUUGCUGGCUGUGAAUGAGGCCGUCGUCUCAGUGCUGAUGUUCCGGUUCUUGGAUUGUCUCUGUAAAUGUUAUUUGUUUCUGUCUACUAACCUCCCUUAUUUUCCUAAAGGAAGAGGAGGAAAGAGAGUCAUAACAAAGGCCACCUCCGUCCCUCCUUAGCUCUCUUGCUAUCAGGACUGCAGCCAGCUGGCUGCUCUCACGAGGGUGGGGGUGCGCGCUCUCCUUACAGGCGGGCAAAGACAGGAGCUCUGGACAGGGCAAUGGGGACUGCCUGCAAUUGACAAAAACUGUGUGAACACUAAACAGAGAAUCUGACUUUAGUCAGAGGAGUUAACAAAACUUUUUUUCAGGAACACUGGCAGCCAAGGACAUGCUCUAUGCCCACUGCUCCCCUUCCCUUCCUUUACUGUGAUAAGUUCAAGGUCUCUUCUGCCGGCCAGCAGCUUCUCUUGUUAACCCUUCUCUGUCCUGGUAUUGCUUAAAAAGAAAUGUUAAAAUUAUCAGUUCAAGAUACUGGGAAAAUUAUGCUUUUGUUUCCACAGGAAAAAUAAAAAUUUACAUGGUGUGAAACCUCAAUAACCCCCCUUCCUCUAUCCCCUACAGACAAAGAGGAGCCUAAACCAGGAUUCCUAAGUGUAGAUAAAAAGUUAGACCCCUUUUUCCCAGGUGGUUUUAUCAGCUACAGAAACUUAAAAAAACACAGAGUCCGAAUAUAUGACCAUCUGACAGAGGCUAAGUGGUCAUAAAACAUCCCAAACUUCUCGAACCCUGGAGACAGCUCGUAAAACUCGUAGACCGGUUGUUUAACAAACAAGAAAUAAAGAUAACAUAACUGAUAUGAACUGAUAACAUACUGAUAUGAACCAGAAAGAAUGGAGGCAGGCUGUGAGAGAUGAAUUAUGUGGUCUGUGCCUUUAAGAACUAGCCUCACAAAGAAAGGGCACGCUCCUUCCAAUCUCCCUGCUGUGCGUGAGAGAUUUGGAAGAGCCCCCUGCCGCGGCUUGUAAACUUUGACUUCAUUUGAAUGAACCUUGCUUUUUGCAUUUUGUACCUAAGUAUCUAGGUGGCUUCUUUGGGGCGAUCUGGGCAUAACAAUGGGUUUUGGUCAUUUGAGUUCAAUGGGUUACAAAUACUUGCCAUCAUUUAAGAGAAUUGGUUUCAAAUUAUUGUUGGUUAAGAUAAAAAAAAUGUUUUAAAAAAUAUGUAAAAUACAAGUUAUUAGAAUAUAUAAAAGCAAAAUAUAAAGGUCUGAGGAUAAAAAGGCUUAAAUAAUGAUCUAAAAAAAUGACUUGAGAUAUAUAAAAAAAAAAAAUGAAACAUGUUUCAGAUUUCUUUGUCUUGCUAUUCUGCUGUUACAUUGAGACUCCAAAGGGUUAUAGUUGUAAAAAUGUCUGUCUACUGUACAGGUAUGAAUGAAAAAUGUGGCCAAAUGUAUGUUUGGUUUUGAAUGUCUGAGUUUGCAUGUCCUUUAUGUUAAGGAAUACAAGUUAAUACUAGUCAUCUGGCUAUUCAGAUACUAGUUUAAAGUAUAAACUGUUCUAUUUUAAUAAAAAAACCCUGAGAGGUAUAUUUAACUAAUAUAUCUAUAGGUGAACAAAUUGGCCUGGUUAUUGUUACCAAACUUAGAGAUAUUUUCAAGAUUGGGCCUAGAUUUGUUUGGCUCAGAUACAUUUAAUAGAUAAUGGUCCUCAAACCUGUCAAGAUCUGUUAAAUAUGGCAUUUACAUUAUUUGAUAAAAAGCUUACUAUAGCAAACAGAGACUCCAAGCUCCCCAGCUCCUAGCAAUGACUCCCAAGGUCUCCAAAAAAGAUAUAGAGCAAUGACAAGAAGAUGCCACCUGAAUUGUGGACAACACCGACCACUGGGCAAGACACUCUGACUCAACAUCUGCUGCCAGGGAUUUGGCCUAUGAGACACUGACAAGAUAAGGUUUCCACUUGGCUGACAGAUACAUCCAAGCAUCUUUUGCUGGUGACAACCUACUGCAAAUGACUGAGCCCUGAACUUGCUGACAGCUGAUAUGGACCAAUUCAGCCGAUAUGCAUACCAUCUCUUCAGCUGGUCAAUAAAACAUUCCCUCUUGUCUUUGACUAACAUUCUGGCUUUCCAGGGCCUUGACAACAACGUCCCAAUGUCAGCAGGAAGUAAUUAUAAAAGAGAAAACAUCGCCCUUGUUUCCCGCCCCCCUGGAAUGUUAGAUCAAAAGGGAAUUUCUUGUCAUAGGGAACCUGAGAUAAAGUUCCAGGUUCCUUGAGGAUAAGGAACUCUGUCAGCCAUCAUAAGGCUUUUGGCCCAUGUGCUUCUGCUAAUUACUGUUGGCUCUUAUAUCACUGAUGUCUUAACUAAAUGAUGAUUCAUGUCUGGGUACCACUAAGCUGAGGAUGCUAGAAUUCCAAUAUCCACCUCUGAACCCAUGACACACUUGCAGAUGGCAAAAACUGAAUAAGGGGAAGCUCGCUUUGCCAUUGAUAAUGGGAAAGCUCUUAUAUUCUGGUCCAAUUAGUCUCUGAUAUGGAAUUCUUUGAGCAGAGAGGCAGAUACACUCGAGAACCUGAGUCUAUGACUAUUGCCCUAUUGUUAGGUAUUGGGGGUAUCACUGCAGAAAUUGGUACAGGAACUACUGCCCUCGUGCAGAGCAACCACCUUAUGCAGUUACAAAUGGCUAUGACUACUGACCUAGAGGCCAUAGAAAGAUCCAUUUCUGCUCUGGAGAAAUCUUUAACCUCGCUCUCUGAAGUUGUGUUACAAAACAUAAGAGGUCUGGAUUUACUAUUUUUAAAGGAGGGGGGAUUAUGUGCAGCCUUAAAGAAAGAAUGCUGCUUUUAUGCCGACCAUACUGGUAUUGUCAGGGAAUUGAUGGAAAAAUUAAGGAAAAGGCUAGCCCCCCCCCCCAAAAAAAAGGGGAGUUUAAAAAUCAGCACAGGUGGUUUAAAAAUUGGCUGCAAGGGUCCCCCUGGCUCUCCACCUUGCUACCUACCAUUCUAGCCCCCUUAGUUGUUUUUCUCCUUCUCAUUACCUUUGGUCCCUGGGCCUUUCAGCAGUUGACUCAGUUUAUCAAAAAUCAGAUUGAUUCGGCCUCACCACGACACAUCUCGAUUCAUUAUCAUAGAGUAGAUUCCGAGGAGGCCAGCCAGGAGCCCCAUCAAGGACUCAGAUUCAGUGUCCUAAGGCCCUAGCGUCCCCACGGUCUUGCUAGAGGGUACCCAAUGACGGGAAUAGUACAGGGCUCAUGCCGGAGACAACAGCGUACAGAGGUCGUCGAGACCAGCUCAACAUGGCACGCUGCCGAGCGUGGGAAGCCCCUUGUGUAGCCUAAGACAGGGACUCUCUCGGACCCUAGCCACCCCAAUCACAAUGGACUUGGUCCAUUUUUGAGAAAAGGGGGGGAACUGUUGGAGACCGACUCCGGACAGCUAUGUCCUGGACUUUGUCAAGCCUUGACAAAAACUUCCUGACCUAACUGCAGGAGAUGUGACUAGAUAAGACCUUCCUGGCCUAACUGCAGGAGAUGAUGAUUAGGUAAACUUUCUGGAGCCUGUCAACUGCAGGGGGCCCAGGAUCAAAGCGACCUCGCCCCUGACCCCCUCCUUAGGAAUUUUCUCUCUCCCUGCUUCCCCUGCUCCCCUCCCUACCUGAAGCCCUGUUUAUAAGCCUCAAUACCCAGUCAAUAAAGGAGACCUUGACGCGA